rnacentral:lncRNA from 1 species
AUGCAUCCCAGGCCUCCUCACACGCCUCAGUGUGAAAAAAACUGUCCUGUGUGGCACACCGAACCCAGGGUGAAAAGUGCCGUGAUCACACCUCGACUGCUGCAGCUUUCCAAACCCAAACUUGCACAUCCGGACUUCCAGAGGAGCAGGGAGGUAAGAGGAGCAGAGCAGAUCAUUUCAGAAACAAAUCCGUGCAAACAUCCAUGCUCCUUUUCAGUUUGACGCCUCGUGGCUUCUUGUGUAAUC